CCUACGGGAGGCAGCAGUGGGGGAUAUUGGACAAUGGGGGAAACCCUGAUCCAGCGACGCCGCGUGAGUGAAGAAGUAUUUCGGUAUGUAAAGCUCUAUCAGCAGGGAAGAAAGAAAUGACGGUACCUGAGUAAGAAGCCUCCGCUAACUACAUGCCAGCAGCCGCGGUAAUACGGAGGGGGCAAGCGUUAUCCGGAAUUACUGGGUGUAAAGGUAGCGUAGGCGGUAAUGCAAGUCUGGCGGGAAAGGUGGGGGGCCAACCCCCGUACUGCUGUGGAAACUGGGUAACUGGAGUGCAGGAGAGGCAGGCGGAAUUCGUGGUGUAGCGGUGAAAUGCGUAGAUAUUAGGCAGAACACCAGUGGCGAAGGCAGCCUGCUGGCCCGUAACUGACGCUGAGGCUCGAAAGCGUGGGGAGCGAACAGGAUUAGAUACCCCUGUAGUC
rnacentral:rRNA from 1 species